rnacentral:rRNA from 1 species
AUUGAACGCUGGCGGCAUGCUUUACACAUGCAAGUCGAACGGCAGCACGGGCUUCGGCCUGGUGGCGAGUGGCGAACGGGUGAGUAAUGCAUCGGAACGUGCCCAUGUUGUGGGGGAUAACUACGCGAAAGCGUGGCUAAUACCGCAUACGCCCUGAGGGGGAAGGCGGGGGGAUUCUUCGGAACCUCGCGCAAUUGGAGCGGCCGAUGUCAGAUUAGCUUGUUGGUGAGGUAAAGGCUCACCAAGGCGACGAUCUGUAGCGGGUCUGAGAGGAUGAUCAGCCACACUGGGACUGAGACACGGCCCAGACUCCUACGGGAGGCAGCAGUGGGGAAUAUUGGACAAUGGGCGCAAGCCUGAUCCAGCAAUGCCGCGUGGGUGAAGAAGGCCUGCGGGUUGUAAAGCCCUUAAGCGGGAGGAAAGCCGGGGUGUGAAUAGCGCCUCGGGGUGACGUUACCCGCA